rnacentral:rRNA from 1 species
CCUACGGGAGGCAGCAGUGGGGAAUCUUGCGCAAUGGGCGAAAGCCUGACGCAGCCAUGCCGCGUGAAUGAUGAAGGUCUUAGGAUUGUAAAAUUCUUUCACCGAGGACGAUAAUGACGGUACUCGGAGAAGAAGCCCCGGCUAACUUCGUGCCAGCAGCCGCGGUAAUACGAAGGGGGCUAGCGUUGCUCGGAAUUACUGGGCGUAAAGGGAGCGUAGGCGGAUAGUUUAGUCAGAGGUGAAAGCCCAGGGCUCAACCUUGGAAUUGCCUUUGAUACUGGCUAUCUUGAGUACGGAAGAGGUAUGUGGAACUCCGAGUGUAGAGGUGAAAUUCGUAGAUAUUCGGAAGAACACCAGUGGCGAAGGCGACAUACUGGUCCGUUAACUGACGCUGAGGCUCGAAAGCGUGGGGAGCAAACAGGAUUAGAUACCCUGGUAGUCCACGCUGUAAACGAUGAGUGCUAGUUGUCGGCAUGCAUGCAUGUCGGUGACGCAGCUACGACAUAAGACACUCCGCCGUCGGGAGGUACGGUCGCGAGAUUAAACUACAAUAGAAGUUAGUACGGCGUGAGACGUGACCGACGGACGACGACGAGGGAGGAGG